UAGGGCCAUAUCAUGUUGAAACACCGGUUCUCAUACGAUUAUCGGAGUUAAGCAACAUCGUGGCUGUUCAGUAUUUAGAUGGGUGACAACUUGGGUAUAACAGGUGCCGUAUG